rnacentral:rRNA from 1 species
GACGAACGCUGGCGGCGUGCUUAACACAUGCAAGUCGAACGGAAAGGCCCUGCUUUUGUGGGGUGCUCGAGUGGCGAACGGGUGAGUAACACGUGAGUAACCUGCCCUUGACUUUGGGAUAACUUCAGGAAACUGGGGCUAAUACCGGAUAGGAGCUCCUGCUGCAUGGUGGGGGUUGGAAAGUUUCGGCGGUUGGGGAUGGACUCGCGGAUUAUCGGCUUGUUGGUUGGGUAGUGGCUUACCAAGGCUUUGACGGGUAGCCGGCCUGGGAGGGUGAGCGGCCACGUUGCGACUGAGAUACGGCACAGACUCGUAUGGGACGCAGCAGUGGAGAAUAGUGCACAAUGGGAGGGAGGCUGAUGCAGCAACGCCGCGCGCGGGAAGACGGCCUUCGGGUUGUGAACCGAUUUCGCCUGAGAUGAAGCGUGAGUGACGGUAAUGGGUAAAGAAGCACCGGCUAACUACGUG